rnacentral:rRNA from 1 species
AAAGAAGGCCUGCGGCGUCUUACCAUGCAGUCGAGCGGUAAGGCCCUUCGGGGUACACGAGCGGCGAACGGGUGAGUAACACGUGGGUAACCUGCCCUGUACUCUGGGAUAAGCCUUGGAAACGAGGUCUAAUACCGGAUAUGACACCGGACUGCAUGGUUUGGUGUGGAAAGUUCCGGCGGUACAGGAUGGACCCGGGGCCUAUCAGCUUGUUGGUGGGGUAAUGGCCUACCAAGGCGACGACGGGUAGCCGGCCUGAGAGGGUGACCGGCCACACUGGGACUGAGACACGGCCCAGACUCCUACGGGAGGCAGCAGUGGGGAAUAUUGCACAAUGGGCGAAAGCCUGAUGCAGCGACGCCGCGUGAGGGAUGACGGCCUUCGGGUUGUAAACCUCUUUCAGCAGGGACGAAGCGCAAGUGACGGUACCUGCAGAAGAAGCACCGGCUAACUACGUGCCAGCAGCCGCGGUAAUACGUAGGGUGCGAGCGUUGUCCGGAAUUAUUGGGCGUAAAGAGCUCGUAGGCGGUUUGUCGCGUCGGCCGUGAAAACUUGGGGCUUAACUCCAAGCUUGCGGUCGAUACGGGCAGACUUGAGUUCGGCAGGGGAGACUGGAAUUCCUGGUGUAGCGGUGAAAUGCGCAGAUAUCAAGAGGAACACCGGUGGCGAAGGCGGGUCUCUGGGCCGACACUGACGCUGAGGAGCGAAAGCGUGGGGGAGCGAACAGGAUUAGAUACCCCUGGUAGUCCACGCCGUAAACGGUGGGUG